ensembl:lncRNA
AUGACAAGAUGAGUUAAACAGUAAAAUAUUCUUUGGAUCAUCUUUAUACGUUGGUAUUUUUUACUGUAAUGACUGAACAAGUUUCUGGUAUAUAUUGCUUUUUCUUCAGCCUAAGACUCUGGUAUUCAAUAGCUAUCUGCGUGGGCUGGUCUGUAAGAUGGGCUGUUUCAACAAACUCAAAGUCCUGUUGGCACCUGAUUUUUGAGAUUUUUGCAACACAAGUAAUGUCCCUGAAGGAUACUGAAAGAAAAAGACAUCUGCCUGCUCUUAAAAUCUAGGAAGGCAAAGGAAGAAGUCUCCUUUAUCUCCAUCCUAAUGCCAUUUAGAAAGAGGCUGUAAUGAAUCCUGGAGUACAAAUGUGCUGUUUCCUCUGUGGAAGUUUCUGAGUUCGUACUGAUGUCUUGUGGAAUGGAGGGCUCCCAUACUUCAUUCUGUCUUCAGGAAACUCCUGAAUCUACAGAUAAAGGUAGCAUUCCUUCUCUAUAGCUGCUUGCUGAAUCUCUGCUGGAGAGAACUGCCACAGGAGCCCAGCUCCUACUGGCAGAUGAAUCUUCCUGCACUGGCCUUUGCCACGUUGAAAGCUUGUUUCUUUGUCUCUGCAGGCAUGUACAUGUGCUGGGAUAUGAUACAACAGCUGUUUUUGAGGGGACAGAUCUACCCUAUCUGUGGAAACCAAGGAAGGAUUGGUGUAUAUGGAUUAUGGCCAGGAAAGAAACAGGAUCCAGAACUGGUGUUUUAGAAGACAUAUAGAAGGACAAGCAUAUGGAUAAAUGCCACAGAAAUAUCUUCAAAAUAAUCCAGAAGCAAAACUCUUAUUGAAAAUGGGAGAUGUUAAGUACUGAUAACCUGUCCACAGUGAAUAGAAGAUGACCAGGAGUGGAAGAUCUCCCCGACUUUGAGUUCUCCUCCCAUCACCAGGAUGCUGCUGACCUGCUCUCUGCUCUGCACUCAACUCAGUGGUGGGACUUCCAGAGGCUGCCUUCACCAUUUCCUUCAAUUAUGUUCUCCAUAAAGCCCUACCUCAGCUCUCCCAGAGUCUCAGCUAUUCAAGUUACUCCAGGGGAACCUAUAACACAGAUGUAUGGGAACUGUUGAAUCACGGCCUGAACCUCUGAUUGACCACCUGAGAAUAAGAAGAACCUGUCUGUAUUUGUGGAUGGCUGAGAUCAAGCUUGGUCUUAGAAUCAGGCAUCUUCCUUAAGAAGAAAGGGAUGUGACACAGACUUUUAAGUUUGACAUGGGUGACAGCAAGUCUUUCAACACAUGAAGCCCAUUCAUUUUUGUCUUGAAAACAGUUUUGUAAAUGUCAGAGUUUAAAACUCAUUUGACUCAUUUUUGCCUUUUUUUCAGCAGCGUUUAUCUCACCCCAAGUUUGAAGGGAGAUCUGUCCAUUUCCGUCAGAAGAAUAACUCAGUCAACAGACAGGGACUUCUGUUUUACCAAGCCUGCUGUGCCUGCUUCUGGCAAUGCUGGGUUACAGGAGCUCAGGUUCUUGUGUUUGAAAACCUCUAUGUGGCAAACAGAGAGAAUGAGGCUUUAAAACUUUCUGUUUUCUUUGGCUUUUGGGCAACUGGUUGCAUUCUAUCUAAGGGAAAAAAUACUUCAUGCUGCAAAACUAUGUCCCUCUCCUAUGGCAUGUCAUCAGAUGUCUUACAUAUUUUAACUCAAAUAUGAAAUGGCAAUACAAAUCUACACGUGGAUGCAGCAUUUUGCUGCCUAUUACUUUAAGUGUUUACAUUCUAUUGAAAGCACAGCUGCACUGUAGAAAAAAGCAUUUCUUAUAUUGACCUGACAGAAUUCAAUCUUUAGAUAUCUCAGGGAAACCAGCAUGGGGUUAUUCAGUAUCUGCACAAACCAUAUUCUAAUAGUUUUCACCACGAAUGAUCAUGACACUCUUUCAUAGUCCUGCAUUUUUCCAUUUUUGCUGAUUCUUCUUUUUUUUUUUUUUAAGUAUUUCCUCAAGAAUCUGUGUUCAAACUACAUUCAAAAAGCAUAUGCAGAUUUUAAUCUCUUUACAGAAGACACAAUCCCAUUCUUUUUUUUUUUUCUUUAGUCUACCACAAACACUUCUACCCUACUGAUAUUGCAAGUACCUUUUUUUUUCCACGUACAGAGGAGCAUAGGAACAGGUUUUGUGGACAGCUCAGCUCCAUAAUCUGUCUUUCACAAUAGCCAAAAGCAACACCAAUCAGUGACUUAUGGCUUGUCUUGAAUAUUAGUGACAGCAGUUAUGAGGUCAAAGCACUGGAAAUAAUUGCAUUGUGCUGAUGAUCUCCAGGGCCUGAGGUUUAUACAGCCAAGGCAAUGGGAAAGAGAGCAGAAGGAUCCAGCAAACCACUGAAGUACAGGAGCUGUAAUGAAGAUGGUCAUGGGAGCACAGGUCCAACCUUUGAGGUCACAGCAUCUUGCUGCAUAGCACUGGAGGCAGCCACAUCUUGCAGCCCCUGCACACAGUGAUGUGAAUGUCAAAUAGCCAGGGCUAGGUUCAUAAGGACAGGUAUUAUCUCGCUGGGAAAAAAAACACAAACAGUCUUUCGGGCACAUAAGUCUUAUUUUGAGACUGAAGAGAAUGAAGCGGAGGCUGAGAAUUAUAUAUUCUUUGACCAUCAUGGUUACAACACUACAACCAUUGCAGUUCUGUCAGUUAAUUAAUUUUUACCACUAAGAGCCCCUAAGGAAUAUGUCAAUUUAAAUUAUAAAGCACCAAGAGGAGCUUCAUAAAAAUGAAUGUCUGUGUAUAAACCUUAAUUUCACGGAAAGUCCUAAGAAAAAUUCUUAACCCAAACCAGUUAUUUUUGCAUCCUAAAUCAAAGUAAGCUUCAGUGUAGUGUUAGAAUGGAAGUUAGGGUUAGGAAAACUCUGCUCACGCUUUUGAUCUCAGAGUUCAAGACAUUCCCGGUCAACAAGUUUCUAAGACCUGGCGAAUAUCAGAGCUACGCUGGCAUCCUAAAGUGAGACAGCUCUCAAGAUGCUUAUUCUCAUUCUGCAGAAACUCCUGCUGAUGGACUGGGGCCCUGAUCUGAUAAAAUCUCUGCAGGCUGAGUGCCUGUUCUGUAGUUCCUUGUUAAUACUGUCCUUUAAAGAAAUUAAUCUUCCCCUCCAGAACUAAUCUUCCCCUCUCAGCUCUGGGCACAGGAAGUAUUUUUCCCUGGUUCAGAGCUCUUUUUCUCAUGGUCCUGCCCUUCUCAGAAGUUCUGAAUAUUUAUUUUUUCAGAAAAAGGUGUGUCAGAGGAGAAACCAUUUCCCCUUGGAUUAAACAUAGCUGCUCUGGCACACAACUCUGUGGCUGCUAUACUGAAGGGUCAGGCACUUCACCUCACACAGUUGUCCAGGGAAUAAAACCCAUUAUGGAAUGUGGAAAUAGGAAAGUUGACUGUUCUACAGAUAGGGAAGUGAGACUGAGAUGGAAGUCAGAGACAAAUUAAAGGGAAUGAGCAUGGACUGAAGGUUAGAUCUCCAGCCCUAUGUUUGGGCCUUGUCCAAGAUGAAAUUCAUGGGGCCAUUUUAAAGUGAAUAUCAAGCAUCGCACUUUGCUCAUUUAAUAAACUUACCUGCUGUGAAGGACUGCUAGAUACUGCUAGAUACUUCCUCUGUACAUCUGUUGAGUUAACAUUAUAGAAGAUUGAUAUUUAUGUGAUGGAGAGAGUUUACAAUGCUGAUUAAGUAAAUAUUUGCUUUUAAAUAUUUGUAUGCCAGUGCUUAGUUUAUGAAUGUGAAUUCCCAAGAUCACUGUUUUUAUGAUCCCAUUUCAGCAAGGGCAAUUACUUCCUUUCUGCUAAUCAGGAAAAGACACAACCAAUAUUAAGAGACCAUGGGAAUUGAGUAGGAUCAAAGGUGCAGAUUACCAACUGGAACGUAUUUCUUUCUCAUGUUCAUUACUCAAUACUAUUUGCAUAAAUAAGCUUUUUUUUAUUUUUUUUCUAAUUUGAGAAAAUUUUCUUGCUGCUGAUUCUCUCUUGAGGUCAUAGUCUUCUUAUGAUAUCACAGUUGAUUGGCAGAGAAAAUGUUAUCACGUGAUCAGAGGUUCAUGUGAGAGAAUGAGUAGCUUUUAAGGAGAAGUUCCUGUAUUCAUAUUCAUAUCCCAUGUGUUAAAGUAUUAAUGCUGAAUGGAAACAAUCCUUCCCAUUCAGUACUUUUCCAUCACAUGACAGCAGUUUACUAUGUGUUUAGCAUUAUAGAGACAGUCACCACUAUAUGUUCUUCAUGAUGCUCUUAGGGCAGCACUAUGAAGCUCACAAGAGAUAUGAUAACUCAACCAAAAAUGAAGUCCACUAAUAAGAGACUUCAUCUGGAUUUCCCAGCAUAUGAUGUCUCCUUUGUGGUUUUCUAUAAACAUUUAGGGUGAGGGAAGGCUUUGAUACUAAUAUACCAUAUUUUUGGCACCAAAUAAAUACUAAAUGCUUGUGCACAACAGUGGCUUUUUAAAAAAUGGCUGUUUACAGGUAAAGUAUCCUCAGGAACUGUCCUCCUCCACAUUUCACUGUCCUAUAUGACUGUUAUCCACCUGUAUCAGAAUCUUGUCAGCCACCUGACAACAAAAAACUGAUAUGAUGCGGCUAAUAAAUUCUGCUCCAUUGCUUAACAGG